rnacentral:rRNA from 1 species
AUUGAACGCUGGCGGCAUGCCUUACACAUGCAAGUCGAACGGCAGCACGGGAGCUUGCUCCUGGUGGCGAGUGGCGAACGGGUGAGUAAUACAUCGGAACGUACCCUGAAGUGGGGGAUAACGUAGCGAAAGUUACGCUAAUACCGCAUAUUCUGUGAGCAGGAAAGAGGGGGAUCGCAAGACCUCUUGCUUUAGGAGCGGCCGAUGUCGGAUUAGCUAGUUGGUGAGGUAAAGGCUCACCAAGGCGACGAUCCGUAGCGGGUCUGAGAGGAUGAUCCGCCACACUGGGACUGAGACACGGCCCAGACUCCUACGGGAGGCAGCAGUGGGAAUUUUGGACAAUGGGCGCAAGCCUGAUCCAGCCAUGCCGCGUGAGUGAAGAAGGCCUGGUGUAAGC